CCUUUCUUUGCAUCAAGAAGAAUUUUGAGCUAGUCGGUGAAUCCUGCACUAUUCAUGAGUUGCACAAAGCUCUAGCAAGUUACAUUGGAUACUUGAAGAUCCCUAAAACCAUACCAGAUAUAAGUGUGUGCAUGGGUAUGUUAAAUGUCUGUACAUGUUCUAACACAAUAGGGGACUUGACCAGUGAUAUGGAUAUAUGCAGUCCACUGUCAAGCCAUAUUUCAUGUCUUGAGUCUAAAGCAGGACAGUGUGAUGAAUCAGAGAGAACCAAAGCUCUAAAUUAUACCAAGGAACUUUUUUCAAAAUUUCCACAAUGUGGUA